rnacentral:rRNA from 1 species
GGGUUGUGAGGUUAAGCGACUAAGCGUACACGGUGGAUGCCCUGGCAGUCAGAGGCGAUGAAGGACGUGCUAAUCUGCGAUAAGCGUCGGUAAGGUGAUAUGAACCGUUAUAACCGGCGAUUUCCGAAUGGGGAAACCCAGUGUGAUUCGUCACACUAUCAUUAACUGAAUCCAUAGGUUAAUGAGGCGAACCGGGGGAACUGAAACAUCUAAGUACCCCGAGGAAAAGAAAUCAACCGAGAUUCCCCCAGUAGCGGCGAGCGAACGGGGAGCAGCCCAGAGCCUGAAUCAGUGUGUGUGUUAGUGGAAGCGUCUGGAAAGGCGCGCGAUACAGGGUGACAGCCCCGUACACAAAAAUGCACAUACUGUGAGCUCGAUGAGUAGGGCGGGACACGUGGUAUCCUGUCUGAAUAUGGGGGGACCAUCCUCCAAGGCUAAAUACUCCUGACUGACCGAUAGUGAACCAGUACCGUGAGGGAAAGGCGAAAAGAACCCCGGCGAGGGGAGUGAAAAAGAACCUGAAACCGUGUACGUACAAGCAGUGGGAGCACGCUUCGGCGUGUGACUGCGUACCUUUUGUAUAAUGGGUCAGCGACUUAUAUUCUGUAGCAAGGUUAACCGAAUAGGGGAGCCGAAGGGAAACCGAGUCUUAACUGGGCGUUAAGUUGCAGGGUAUAGACCCGAAACCCGGUGAUCUAGCCAUGGGCAGGUUGAAGGUUGGGUAACACUAACUGGAGGACCGAACCGACUAAUGUUGAAAAAUUAGCGGAUGACUUGUGGCUGGGGGUGAAAGGCCAAUCAAACCGGGAGAUAGCUGGUUCUCCCCGAAAGCUAUUUAGGUAGCGCCUCGUGAAUUCAUCUCCGGGGGUAGAGCACUGUUUCGGCAAGGGGGUCAUCCCGACUUACCAACCCGAUGCAAACUGCGAAUACCGGAGAAUGUUAUCACGGGAGACACACGGCGGGUGCUAACGUCCGUCGUGAAGAGGGAAACAACCCAGACCGCCAGCUAAGGUCCCAAAGUCAUGGUUAAGUGGGAAACGAUGUGGGAAGGCCCAGACAGCCAGGAUGUUGGCUUAGAAGCAGCCAUCAUUUAAAGAAAGCGUAAUAGCUCACUGGUCGAGUCGGCCUGCGCGGAAGAUGUAACGGGGCUAAACCAUGCACCGAAGCUGCGGCAGCGACACUAUGUGUUGUUGGGUAGGGGAGCGUUCUGUAAGCCUGUGAAGGUGUGCUGUGAGGCAUGCUGGAGGUAUCAGAAGUGCGAAUGCUGACAUAAGUAACGAUAAAGCGGGUGAAAAGCCCGCUCGCCGGAAGACCAAGGGUUCCUGUCCAACGUUAAUCGGGGCAGGGUGAGUCGACCCCUAAGGCGAGGCCGAAAGGCGUAGUCGAUGGGAAACAGGUUAAUAUUCCUGUACUUGGUGUUACUGCGAAGGGGGGACGGAGAAGGCUAUGUUGGCCGGGCGACGGUUGUCCCGGUUUAAGCGUGUAGGCUGGUUUUCCAGGCAAAUCCGGAAAAUCAAGGCUGAGGCGUGAUGACGAGGCACUACGGUGCUGAAGCAACAAAUGCCCUGCUUCCAGGAAAAGCCUCUAAGCAUCAGGUAACAUCAAAUCGUACCCCAAACCGACACAGGUGGUCAGGUAGAGAAUACCAAGGCGCUUGAGAGAACUCGGGUGAAGGAACUAGGCAAAAUGGUGCCGUAACUUCGGGAGAAGGCACGCUGAUAUGUAGGUGAAGCGACUUGCUCGUGGAGCUGAAAUCAGUCGAAGAUACCAGCUGGCUGCAACUGUUUAUUAAAAACACAGCACUGUGCAAACACGAAAGUGGACGUAUACGGUGUGACGCCUGCCCGGUGCCGGAAGGUUAAUUGAUGGGGUUAGCGGUAACGCGAAGCUCUUGAUCGAAGCCCCGGUAAACGGCGGCCGUAACUAUAACGGUCCUAAGGUAGCGAAAUUCCUUGUCGGGUAAGUUCCGACCUGCACGAAUGGCGUAAUGAUGGCCAGGCUGUCUCCACCCGAGACUCAGUGAAAUUGAACUCGCUGUGAAGAUGCAGUGUACCCGCGGCAAGACGGAAAGACCCCGUGAACCUUUACUAUAGCUUGACACUGAACAUUGAGCCUUGAUGUGUAGGAUAGGUGGGAGGCUUUGAAGUGUGGACGCCAGUCUGCAUGGAGCCGACCUUGAAAUACCACCCUUUAAUGUUUGAUGUUCUAACGUUGGCCCCUGAUCGGGGUUGCGGACAGUGUCUGGUGGGUAGUUUGACUGGGGCGGUCUCCUCCUAAAGAGUAACGGAGGAGCACGAAGGUUGGCUAAUCCUGGUCGGACAUCAGGAGGUUAGUGCAAUGGCAUAAGCCAGCUUGACUGCGAGCGUGACGGCGCGAGCAGGUGCGAAAGCAGGUCAUAGUGAUCCGGUGGUUCUGAAUGGAAGGGCCAUCGCUCAACGGAUAAAAGGUACUCCGGGGAUAACAGGCUGAUACCGCCCAAGAGUUCAUAUCGACGGCGGUGUUUGGCACCUCGAUGUCGGCUCAUCACAUCCUGGGGCUGAAGUAGGUCCCAAGGGUAUGGCUGUUCGCCAUUUAAAGUGGUACGCGAGCUGGGUUUAGAACGUCGUGAGACAGUUCGGUCCCUAUCUGCCGUGGGCGCUGGAGAACUGAGGGGGGCUGCUCCUAGUACGAGAGGACCGGAGUGGACGCAUCACUGGUGUUCGGGUUGUCAUGCCAAUGGCACUGCCCGGUAGCUAAAUGCGGAAGAGAUAAGUGCUGAAAGCAUCUAAGCACGAAACUUGCCCCGAGAUGAGUUCUCCCUGACUCCCUGAGAGUCCUGAAGGAACGUUGAAGACGACGACGUUGAUAGGCCGGGUGUGUAAGCGCAGCGAUGCGUUGAGCUAACCGGUACUAAUGAACCGUGAGGCUUAACCUUACAACGCCGAAG